rnacentral:rRNA from 1 species
UACGUAGGUCCCGAGCGUUGUCCGGAUUUAUUGGGCGUAAAGCGAGCGCAGGUGGUUUAUUAAGUCUGGUGUAAAAGGCAGUGGCUCAACCAUUGUAUGCAUUGGAAACUGGUAGACUUAAGUGCAGGAGAGGAGAGUGGAAUUCCAUGUGUAGCGGUGAAAUGUGUAGAUAUAUGGAGGAACACCGGUGGCGAAAGCGGCUCUCUGGCCUGUAACUGACACUGAGGCUCGAAAGCGUGGGGAGCAAACAGG